rnacentral:rRNA from 1 species
UACUGGGCGUAAAGGGCUCGUAGGUGGUUUGUCGCGUCGUCUGUGGAAUUCCGGGGCUUAACUUCGGAUGUGCAGGCGAUACGGGCAAUACUUGAGUGCUGUAGGGGAGACUGGAAUUCCUGGUGUAGCGGUGAAAUGCGCAGAUAUCAGGAGGAACACCGAUGGCGAAGGCAGGUCUCUGGGCAGUGACUGACGCUGAGGAGCGAAAGCAUGGGUAGCGAACAGGAUUAGAUACCCUGGUAGUCCAUGCUGUAAACGGUGGGCGCUAGGUGUGAGGGGCUUUCACGUUUCUCGUGCCGUAGCUAACGCAUUAAGCGCCCCGCCUGGGGAGUACGGCCGCAAGGCUAAAACUCAAAGGAAUUGACGGGGGCCCGCACAAGCGGCGGAGCAUGUGGAUUAAUUCGAUGCAACGCGAAGAACCUUACCUGGGCUUGACAUGCACUGGAUCGCUGCAGAGAUGUAGUUUCUCUUUGGAGUCGGUGUACAGGUGGUGCAUGGUUGUCGUCAGCUCGUGUCGUGAGAUGUUGGGUUAAGUCCCGCAACGAGCGCAACCCUUGUCUUAUGUUGCCAGCAUUUGGUUGGGGACUCAUGAGAGACUGCCGGGGUUAACUCGGAGGAAGGUGGGGAUGACGUCAAAUCAUCAUGCCCCUUAUGUCCAGGGCUUCACACAUGCUACAAUGGUCGGUACAACGGGUGGCGAUGCCGUGAGGUUGAGCUAAUCCUUUUAAAGUCGGCCUUAGUUCGGAUUGGGGUCUGCAACUCGAGCCCAUGAAGUCGGAGUCGCUAGUAAUCGUAGAUCAGCAAUGCUGCGGUGAAUACGUUCCCGGGCCUUGCACACACCGCCCGU